GGGCCCGCACAAGCAGCGGAGCAUGUGGUUUAAUUCGAAGCAACGCGAAGAACCUUACCAAGGCUUGACAUCCUCUGACGUACGUAGAGAUACGUAUUCCCUUUUAGGGCAGAGAGACAGGUGGUGCAUGGUUGUCGUCAGCUCGUGUCGUGAGAUGUUGGGUUAAGUCCCGCAACGAGCGCAACCCCUAUUAUUAGUUGCCAGCGCGUAAAGGCGGGAACUCUAAUGAGACUGCCGGGGAUAACUCGGAGGAAGGUGGGGACGACGUCAAAUCAUCAUGCCCCUUAUGUCUUGGGCUACACACGUGCUACAAUGGUCGGUACAAAGGGCAGCGAAGCGGAGACGCGGAGCGAAUCUUAAAAAAGCCGAUCCCAGUUCGGAUUGUGGGCUGCAACCCGCCCACAUGAAGUUGGAGUUGCUAGUAAUCGCGAAUCAGAAUGUCGCGGUGAAUGCGUUCCCGGGCCUU
rnacentral:rRNA from 1 species